GAUGAACGCUAGCUACAGGCUUAACACAUGCAAGUCGAGGGGUAGCAGGGUAGCAAUACCGCUGACGACCGGCGCACGGGUGAGUAACACGUAUCCAACCUUCCCAUAACUCGGGGAUAGCCUUUCGAAAGAAAGAUUAAUACCCGAUAGUACUUAACAAAGGCAUCUUUGAUAAGUUAAAGAUUUAUUGGUUAUGGAUGGGGAUGCGUUCCAUUAGAUAGUUGGUGAGGUAACGGCUCACCAAGUCUUCGAUGGAUAGGGGUUCUGAGAGGAAGGUCCCCCACAUUGGUACUGAGACACGGACCAAACUCCUACGGGAGGCAGCAGUGAGGAAUAUUGGUCAAUGGCGAGAGCCUGAACCAGCCAAGUAGCGUGAAGGAUGAAGGUCCUAUGGAUUGUAAACUUCUUUUAUAGUAGAAUAAAGUGAUCCACGUGUGGAUUUUUGUAUGUAUACUAUGAAUAAGGAUCGGCUAACUCCGUGCCAGCAGCCGCCGUAA
rnacentral:rRNA from 1 species